rnacentral:rRNA from 1 species
AUUGAACGCUGGCGGCAUGCUUUACACAUGCAAGUCGAACGGCAGCACGGGUGCUUGCACCUGGUGGCGAGUGGCGGACGGGUGAGUAAUGCAUCGGAACGUGUCCUGAAGUGGGGGAUAACGCAUCGAAAGAUGUGCUAAUACCGCAUAUUCUCUGAGGAGGAAAGUAGGGGAUCGAAAGACCUUAUGCUUUUGGAGCGGCCGAUGUCUGAUUAGCUAGUUGGUAGGGUAAUGGCUUACCAAGGCGACGAUCAGUAGUUGGUCUGAGAGGACGACCAGCCACACUGGGACUGAGACACGGCCCAGACUCCUACGGGAGGCAGCAGUGGGAAUUUUGGACAAUGGGCGCAAGCCUGAUCCAGCAAUGCCGCGUGAGUGAAGAAGGCCUUCGGGUUGUAAAGCUCUUUCAGUUGAGAAGAAAAAGUCGUGACUAAUAAUCAUGAUUCAUGACGGUAUCAACAGAAGAAGCACCGGCUAACUACGUG